AACGAACGCUGGCGGCAGGCCUAACACAUGCAAGUCGAGCGAGGACUUCGGUCCUAGCGGCGGACGGGGGAGUAACGCGUGGGAACGUGCCCUUUGCUUCGGAAUAGCCCUGGGAAACUGGGAGUAAUACCGGAUGAGCCCUUUGGGGGAAAGAUUUAUCGGCGAAGGAUCGGCCCGCGUUGGAUUAGGUAGUUGGUGGGGUAAUGGCCUACCAAGCCGACGAUCCAUAGCUGGUUUGAGAGGAUGAUCAGCCACAAUGGGACUGAGACACGGCCCAGACUGCUACGGGAGGCAGCAGUGGGGAAUAUUAGACACUGGAGGCAAAUCUGAUCUAGCCACGCGGGGUGUGAGAGGAAGGCCGUAGGGUUGUAAAGCUCUCUCAGCUGGGAAGAUAAUGACGGUACCAGCAGAAGAAGCCCCGGCUAACUCCGUG
rnacentral:rRNA from 1 species